CCCACAAUUCUUAUAUUUGCCUCUUAUUUGUAAAGGAAUCUAUUCGGAACAUGCGAACACGUCCAAAGUACAAAGAGAACAAAUUACAGCAGCUGAAUUUUUUUCUUCUUCUUCUGAGUGGGGUGGGGUUUGCCUUUGGCGCGUGGGUAGGGCUGCACUCAGUCAGAUCACGCGUGAGCUAGACUCCCCUGACCAUUCAAGUCGCAGGUCAAAUGGUCGGCCGUGAACGGUGAGCACACGAGCACCAUCUUUUCCUUACAAAACAAGCAACACUUUCCAAAACACUAAAUCCCACCACUUCUAAUGUGUUACUAAUAGUUUCAUCGUGAUAUCGACCGAGAGAAGCAUGUCAUGCUGAUGAAAUAUUAAGCAGUUGUCUCUUAUGUCUGUCCUCCUUUUAGGUUUCACUACUAUUGCUCAAUUGUGCGGCAUUUCCA
rnacentral:lncRNA from 1 species